GGAGUCUUGGCGCAGGCUACUUAAAACAUGGAUCAGCAAGAAAAUUUAGGAAAAUAUCUUAACCCUGAGCACUAAUAAGGCAGAGAGAAUAGCAAAGAAAGAUGGAAAAAAGAUGCCUGAAAUUGAAGACUUCCAGUUCUUGAAGCCAAUCAGCCGUGGAGCCUUUGGUGAUUACAGAGAGAGAUGCUUUGGCAAGAACAAAGAGCCCAUAUUGUGUUCACCUUUAUUAUUCUCUUCAGACAGCCUCCAAUGUGUAUCUGGUGAUGGAGUAUCUUAUUGGUGGAGACUUAAAGUCCCUCCUGACUAUAUAUGGCUAUUUUGAUGAGCCGAUGGCUACAUUUUAUGCUGCAGAGUUAGCUUUAGCCCUUCACUACUUGCAUAG